rnacentral:rRNA from 1 species
AGCUCCAAUAGCGUAUCUUAAUGUUGUUGCAGUUAAAAAGCUCGUAGUCGAAUUUCUGGCCGGAUGCCAACGCGAACAGCAGUUGUGCAGCCAGGUCAUCCGCUUGUGAUCAGAUCUCGUGAUUAACCUCUCGGUUCUAGGAUCAAGCACUUUACUUUGAAGAAAUUAGAGUGUUUCAAGCAGGCGUUCGCUUGAAUACACCAGCAUGGAAUAAUGGAAUAGGACUGGAUUCUUUUAUUGGUCAUUGAAUCUAGUAAUGAUUAAUAGGGACAGUUGGGGGCAUUCAUAUUAGUUAGUCAGAGGUGAAAUUCUUCGAUUUAACUAAGAUGAACUAAUGCGAAGGCAUUUGCCAAGGAUGUUUUCA